GGUUAAGCGACUAAGCGUACACGGUGGAUGCCCUGGCAGUCAGAGGCGAUGAAGGACGUGCUAAUCUGCGAUAAGCGUCGGUGAGGUGAUAUGAACCGUUAUAACCGGCGAUUUCCGAAUGGGGAAACCCAGUGUGUUUCGACACACUAUCAUUAACUGAAUCCAUAGGUUAAUGAGGCGAACCGGGGGAACUGAAACAUCUAAGUACCCCGAGGAAAAGAAAUCAACCGAGAUUCCCCCAGUAGCGGCGAGCGAACGGGGAGGAGCCCAGAGCCUGAAUCAGUGUGUGUGUUAGUGGAAGCGUCUGGAAAGGCGCGCGAUACAGGGUGACAGCCCCGUACACAAAAAUGCACAUAUUGUGAGCUCGAUGAGUAGGGCGGGACACGUGGUAUCCUGUCUGAAUAUGGGGGGACCAUCCUCCAAGGCUAAAUACUCCUGACUGACCGAUAGU
rnacentral:rRNA from 1 species